rnacentral:rRNA from 1 species
AUUGAACGCUGGCGGCAGGCCUAACACAUGCAAGUCGAGCGAGUGGCGGACGGGUGAGUAAUGUCUGGGGAUCUGCCCGAUGGAGGGGGAUAACUACUGGAAACGGUGGCUAAUACCGCAUACCAUCGGAUGUGCCCAGAUGGGAUUAGCUAGUUGGUGGGGUAAAGGCUCACCAAGGCGACGAUCCCUAGCUGGUCUGAGAGGAUGACCAGCCACACUGGGACUGAGACACGGCCCAGACUCCUACGGGAGGCAGCAGUGGGGAAUCUUGGACAAUGGGCGAAAGUCUGACGCAGCCACGCCGCGUGUGUGAAGAAGGUUUUCGGGUCGUAAAGCUCUUUUAGUGGGGAGGCGUUAUCUACCCAAAAAGCACCGGCUAACUACGUGCCAGCAGCCGCGGUAAUUC